rnacentral:rRNA from 1 species
AGCAGCCGCGGUAAUUCCAGCUCCAAUAGCGUAUAUUAAAGUUGUUGCAGUUAAAAAGCUCGUAGUUGAAUUUCGGGGUUAGUAAGUUGGUCGUGCCUAUGGUAUGCACUGGCUUUACUGAUUCCUCCUUCUUGAAGAACUGUAAUGUCAUUAAUUUGGUGUUGCAGGGAAACAGGACUGUUACUUUGAAAAAAUUAGAGUGUUUAAAGCAGGCUAACGCUUGAAUACAUUAGCAUGGAAUAAUGAAAUAGGACGUUUGAUCCUAUUUUGUUGGUUUCUAGGAUUGACGUAAUGAUUAAUAGGGAUAGUUGGGGGCAUUAGUAUUCAAUUGUCAGAGGUGAAAUUCUUGGAUUUAUUGAAGACUAACUACUGCGAAAGCAUUUGCCAAGGAUGUUUUCAUUAAUCAAGAACGAAGUUAGGGGAUCGAAGACGAUCAGAUACCGUCGUAGUCUUAACCAUAAACUAUGCCGACUAGGGAUCGGAUGAUGUUAAUUUUUAAUGACUCAUUCGG